rnacentral:RNase_P_RNA from 2 species
AGGAGCCCGUGGACAGCUGACGGUGGCCCAGAAGGGCCGCUGAGGAAAGUCCCCGCUCCACAACGCAGCGCGGCCCGGCGCAAGCCGGGGCGCCGAGAGGCGCGGCAACCGCACCGAGACGAGACCGCCCCGGAGGAGGAUGAUCGGCGGACAAGGCCGUGACGUUCUCCGGGGAAUGGGUGCAACGGCGAGCCCCCGCGGGAGCAAGUCCGGAACGGACGCUGAGUUGAAUGCUGUCAGAACCGAACGGGGCUUACGGCGGGCGCCU